rnacentral:lncRNA from 1 species
GGGAAAGCUAAACAUUAUUUGUUGAAAGUAUACUUGAGUAAUGCAUAAUUGUCAUGUGGUAUUUGGAUCAAACUCUAGCCUCGACAAGGUUAACUUCAUGGUUCGACAUUAUUUGAAGAUGUGCAUGUUGUAGUCGAAGUUUGUUAUUGCAUGCAGUUGUAUAUGUUAGCUUGUUGUUUAAGUUAGCAUAUUGAAUUGGGCUAGCCUGUUGGGCCAAUUGUUUAAUAUGUUAGUUGAAAGCUAGGGUCUAGUUUUCUUAUAAAUAGCAUACUAGUUCUCACUUCUCCAUCAAUACUUGAUAAUCCUAUUCAGGUGGAGAAAGUGGCGUGGUUAAGAUUCAAUUGUAAACAUUGUUCCCUAAUGUGUAAUUGAAUUAAGAAUCCAGUUUUUAACCACUUUCAUUAUUCUUUCUCUUCUCUUCUCUCUUUUCUUUUUUUUCCUUUG